CACAUGCUGUGAACUCUCUAUAAAAAAGAGCUUUUAUAUCUUUGAACCUAAAAUCAACCCCUCUUACAAUGGUUUGGGCUGUAUCACCAGAAAAAACAAACCCAUCCUCAAAAUUUCUGCAGAUAUAUUUGAAGAGGGAAAUUUGUCUCAUUGUCAAAUCCUGCACUUCAUCAACAUACACAAAGUCCAUUUUCUCACCCUCAUAGUUCUCAUCUCAAAGCCGUUGAUGAAGGUCAAUUACAAAGUCAGACAAAUCAAACUCCCCUCUUGUUUUCUUUUUCUUUUCAUAUUGAAUAAAAAUAUCAUAAAUCGUACCUCUUUCUUGUUCACUUAGAUGAGAUAACCUACGCCUAGAAUAGGAAAUAUAAUCCUCCCUACUUAGUUUAUCAUCUUGGACACCAACACAGGAACCUCCUUUUAUAUGAGAAACUAUCUCCGCAAAAAUUGUGGAUGGAUCAAGUUUCUUUGUUAGCUGUAUACUGAAAUGGGGCCAGUAAGCUGAACAAAACUUGUCAUAAUGAACCUCCUUUGUCCUGAUAAAAG
rnacentral:misc_RNA from 1 species